AAACUGACAGAUUUACUUCGGUAACGACGUUAGGAAAGCGAGCGGCGGAUGGGUGAGUAACACGUGGGGAACCUGCCCCAUAGUCCGGGAUACCACUUGGAAACAGGUGCUAAUACCGGAUAAGAAAGCAGAUCGCAUGAUCAGCUUUUAAAAGGCGGCGUAAGCUGUCGCUAUGGGAUGGCCCCGCGGUGCAUUAGCUAGUUGGUAAGGUAAAGGCUUACCAAGGCGAUGAUGCAUAGCCGAGUUGAGAGACUGAUCGGCCACAUUGGGACUGAGACACGGCCCAAACUCCUACGGGAGGCAGCAGUAGGGAAUCUUCCACAAUGGACGCAAGUCUGAUGGAGCAACGCCGCGUGAGUGAAGAAGGUUUUCGGAUCGUAAAGCUCUGUUGUUGGUGAA
rnacentral:rRNA from 1 species